UACGUAGGGGGCAAGCGUUGUCCGGAAUCAUUGGGCGUAAAGAGCGUGUAGGCGGCUCGGUAAGUCCGCUCUGAAAGCCCGGGGCUCAACCCCGGGAGGCGGGUGGAUACUGUCUAGCUCGAGUCCGGAAGAGGAGUGUGGAAUUCCUGGUGUAGCGGUGAAAUGCGCAGAUAUCAGGAGGAACACCAAUGGCGAAGGCAGCACUCUGGGACGUGACUGACGCUGAGACGCGAAAGCGUGGGGAGCAAACAGG
rnacentral:rRNA from 1 species